UCCCAGUCUCACCUCAAACACCCCUCCCCCAAUUCCACCCUCUUUUUCUUCUCAGGGAAGCAGAGGCCCCCAAGAGGUAUCAACCCACCCAAGCAAGUCAAGUUGCAGCAGAACCAAGCCCAUCCUCUUCCACUUGGGCCUGACAAGACAACCCAGCUAGAUCCAGUGGCAGACAACAGAGACAGAGCCCAGCACUCAUCAAGCUAGAAGUUGAGCACUCUCGAAGUUGGUUGAACAUUUGAGGUGGGGCAUUCUACACUUGAACAGGCAUGUCUUCCUGGACAGUGCCCCUUUCCUCGAUACACCGUUGCUCCACUGCCAUCAAGGAUUUAAUCCAGGUCUCUGGAUUUCCAGCCUCUAGUUCCUGGCCCUCCACGCAAGUGUCAGGGGCGAACUUCCUCUCGCAGCACUCGAGUUGAGGCAGUCUUUGGCCACCCACUCAUACAAGUUCAGCGCCACCUUUACCUGUAGGCUCAGAUUGUUCACCAAACCUACUUUAUUUAGGGUUCUUAAGCACCUUUACCCCCUUCCAUCCCCACCCCUGAAACCUUAGGUAGGAGAUUAGAAAGGAAAGGGUUUGGUCCCCUUUUAUCUAUUUCCUAAUGAUUAGUUGUGAGGGGAUUACUAAACUCAGUCGUCAGGAUACCAGCAGUCCACUCCAAAGGCCAGCACGAAGCAGUGAACGUCGGAAAGACUCCUUUGGAUUGCCCAGAGAGGCUCUCUGGGAUGUUUCUCUCUGCCAAGCUGAGUGCUGAAGCACGAAAAUCAGCUCAACAAAGUAUGAAGACCAGGGCAGCAAUGUUGAUCCAAAUAGCAGUGUCUCAUUCUGGCUGGGCCUCUACAUACGUUUUCUCCUCAAAGUCCACCCACGGAUGUUCUCAGCUGGCCAAAGUCAUGCCUCUUGCAUGUGAGGGGUCACAGAAAACAUCACACGCCCUCUCACCUACCAACCUGGGCAAAACAGCACGUGGGCAGCUUGCAGCAAAACAUCACAUGACAAACUUCAGUCCGCUUCAUUUACCCCAGCACAUCUAGC